GUCCACGCCGUAAACGAUGGAUACUCGCUGGUGGCGAUAGACGGUCACUGGCUUAGCGAAAGCGUUAAGUAUCCCACCUGGGGAGUACGCCCGCAAGGGUGAAACUCAAAAGAAUUGACGGGGGCCCGCACAAGUGGUGGAGCAUGUGGUUUAAUUCGAUGAUACGCGAGGAACCUUACCUAGGCUAGAAUGCGCGUGACCGCCUCAGAGAUGAGGCUUUCCUUCGGGACACAAAGCAAGGUGCUGCAUGGCCGUCGU
rnacentral:rRNA from 1 species